rfam:Ovis aries breed Texel chromosome 13, whole genome shotgun sequence.
UUCCUGGUGGUCCACUGGUUAGGACUCUGAACUUCCAAUGCAGGGGACUUGGGUUCAAUCCCUGGUCAGGGAA